rnacentral:lncRNA from 1 species
UGUUAGCCAAAAAGACUCCCUUAUCAAUGUAUGCACACAGCUCAGCCAUUGACAGCACUGAGUGAGCUGUCUUUAAGUCACAGAGAAAUUACAAACAGGGACUGAAAUCCUUACUAUGUCUCAUUCUCAUGCAGGUUGGUUUGUUCAGAUCACUCAGUGCUGUCAGUGGCUGAGCUGUGUGCAUACCUUGAUACGGAAGGUCUUUUUCUGGAGUGAGGGCU